rnacentral:SRP_RNA from 1 species
GCCGGGCAUGGUGGUGCAUGCCUGUAAUCCCAGCUACUAGGGAGGCUGAGGCAGGAGAAUUGCUUGAACCCAGGAGGCAGAGGUUGUAGUGAGCUGAGAUGGCACCAUUGCACUCCAGCCUGGGAGACAGAGCGAGACUCUGUCUCAA